UCCUUGCUGGUGCCUGUGUUAAAUCAGGUGAAAAGGGAAUGCGAUACGGGAAAUAUUUUCCCCGAAACGCAGCCGCCCCCGCGACCGUGACCGGAGAGGUUGCCCAACACCACUGAUCGCAAGAUCGGGAAGGUCGGACAUACCGCGAGAGAAAUCUCAGAUCCGCAAGCCGGGAGACCUGCCAGCAUCG
rnacentral:ncRNA from 1 species